CUUGGAUGUGUCAACUCCUAAAAUGCAUCUCAAAGAUUAUGAACACUGGCUCCAGGUUUAUGAUCAUAUUCCUUGUGAGACUGGAGUGGACCCUUGUGAGUUUGGCUCUAUGGGAACUCGUAUUCUGUGAUCUCUCCUCCUCUUCGCUGACAAGGAGCUAUCACUUCCUUCCCUGAUGGAGACGGAAUGAAACGCAGAUAAGACUUUGUCAUCCGCAGCAUGUCUCUUCUGACACGGUGUACAGCGGAUGGCUCUUUUGGACUCCAAAAGAUGGUUAAUUGAACGAGACAUUUAAAACUCACUACUGUCAGUCUGUAUUUCCGGUUUCAGUGGAUUGGAAUGAUUUCUUAGCUCUUAUCAUGGGCACAUGUGAAAUGAGUAUGAGUAUGAAGUAUUUUCAUUUUGGAUUGUAAAAACAGUGUCAGAAAUGCUCCUGUAAUGAACUUAUCCGACCCCUUCCCUUCCUCCACCUCUUGCUUCCUGACCUCUGCCUCCCCAGUUAGUUUCCUAAUCUUGUGUUAAGGAAUUGAGCUGGCAGUGCUGCCAAUAAUAGCAGAAAAACACAGGACGGUAACAAUUAAAAUAACAAAUGAGGUACAUUAGAGUGAAAAACAUUCAGAGGAGAGGAAAGUGCAUGCUAAUACAUUCUUACAAGCUCCAGGUAUAACAAUUAAAGGGUAGGUAUUAUGGUAAUUUUCAUAUAUUUCCUAAUUUCCACAAUUUGAAUCUUGGACUUUACUGAAGCACCUUUAUAUUCACAGCUGAAAUAAUUCUUACUUAUCUUAAAUUAGGUCCUGUUACAGCCUCUCAGUUCUUCCUCUGUCUGAACCAUGCUGUUUUAGCUCCCUUCUCCCCCACUUUAAGUUAUCUUUCUCCUAAUUGGCUGCCAUCUAUAAACAGAAGGUUUGGACAUCAUGUGGGUGGAGCUUGUGUGCUUAAAGCCAAAACUGUAUGUCUGAGAUGACCAUAUUAAGAAAUGUCACUCUCAUUAAUAAUAUAUAUAUUAAAAAAAAAAAGGAGAACAAAAAGAAAUAAUUAUUGAAUAUUUAAGCCAUCUUAAGAUGACCACAACCAAUUUAACAGUUAAUUCGAAAGACCGGCAUAGGGAACUCUUGCAUUUUCAAAAAGAAAUCUAAAGCUAACUUGAUCGAUGACUUUAUGGCUACUAAUUUCAGUUCUUACUGAAUGCAGCAUCAUGUUCA
rnacentral:lncRNA from 1 species